rnacentral:lncRNA from 1 species
CCUGAACGCCUCCCUGCGACUCCCCUGUCCCCUCUUCCUCCAUGCUAACAUCCAGAUUCCCAUCCCUCCUCUGAUCCUCUUCCAUAACCUCCCUCACAUCUGAAGAACUUCCUCCUCUAUCUGUCCCCCUUCUGCUAGCAUCAAAAGACCUUCUAGGGUCCCUUGACACUCUUUCUCUGUUUGCUCUACAUGACAUUGCCCUAGGCAAUGUAGGAGGACGGGCACUCGUGCCCUCAUCCUCAGGUGGCACUCCAGUCAAUCGUGCAGAUCGACGAGUUCCUCUCAUCCUGUUUUCUGAAAAACAGUACACAUCACAAAAACAUUAGCAUCAUAUGGUUCAUGUGGGCACACAUGAACCCUCAUCACAUAUACAUCAUUCAUAUCAUAGCAUCAAUGCACAUGUAUAUAAUCAUGGCAUUUCACAUCAUCAUACAAGACAGGACUCCACAUCCUAUCCUAGUGGACAUGAUCUUUCCUAUUGUGCUUGACCUUCUAUAACAUCUAUGAGCCCGACACUCUAGGUCCGAUCCUAAGAACCUAGGGCUCUGAUACCAUUCUGUA